AGGAUGAACGCUGGCGGUCUGCUUAACACAUGCAAGUCGAACGGGCGUAGCAAUACGUUAGUGGCGGACGGGUGAGUAACGCGUGAGAAUCUACCUUCAGGACGGAGACAACAGUUGGAAACGACUGCUAACCCCCGAUGUACUGAAAAAGGCAAAUAUUUAUAGCCUGAAGAAGAGCUCGCGUCCGAUUAGCUAGUUGGAGAGGUAAAAGCUCACCAAGGCGACGAUCGGUAGCUGGUCUGAGAGGACGAUCAGCCACACUGGGACUGAGACACGGCCCAGACUCCUACGGGAGGCAGCAGUGGGGAAUUUUCCGCAAUGGGCGAAAGCCUGACGGAGCAAGACCGCGUGGGGGAAGAAGGCUCUUGGGUUGUAAACCCCUUUUCUCUGGGAAGAAAGUUGUGAAAGCAGCCUGACGGUACCAGAGGAAUCAGCAUCGGCUAACUCCGUGCCAGCAGCCGC
rnacentral:rRNA from 1 species